AAUAAAAAGAAUGGUCUCAUCAUCUAUUACUUAACAAAAAUCGGCACAGGAUACAGAGUUCAGCGUAGUAUGAAAUGCAGUUUUGAGAAGAGCUGUAAGCUUUGCAGGAGAUAGUGAGAAAAUAUAAAGUAGCUGUGGCAGCUAAAGUCUCGGUGAUUACCUGAAUGACAACAGGCACUUUAGUGAUGAUGAGGGCAUCCUAUUUGGUUAAAAGGCUCAGUGGCGAACAGGGACACAUAAAAACAUACUUUCACAACCUGUGGUUUCAAAAGGGAAGAAUAAAUGUGUAAAAAAGAUGGACUUGUAGUUGGGAAUUGAUCUGUCGUUUCCUGUCUGCUUCAAAAUUCAGCAUAUCCUGGAAUCUUUGCUGGCUUUACAGUUGGUUUUCUCCUACCAUGAGUUCCAGGGAUUGAACUCAUAUUGUUAGGCUUGCAGGCAAGUACCUCCACCAAGGGAGCUAGCCAACUAAGCCAUCAUUGUUGCUUCAUAUCUGCAUUACGGUGAUUUUCCCCUGGUAUUUUGACAGGGAAAACUAUUAUUUUACAUUUUUACACUUACUGAUAUGCUUCAUUUCAGGGGGCCUUAGCCAAGUUUACUCAUAGUAGGUAUCUAGUAUAAUGCUAAGAGUUUGAGUAUUGCCCAAUAAAUGUCACCUGGGUAAUUAAAACAGCAUUUUCCAUGUAUUGUCUUCCAUCUCCUUAGCCACUAAAUGACACAAACUGCUUGUUCUUUAUAUCAUGCAUGGUCUCAUCCAGAAUGGACACACCAGAAACAAAUGCUUAUCUAGCUCUCUUGUCCUCUACAAGUAAUCUGGGAAAAAACUCUUGAAGUAAAAUGUGAAGAUACUUUGAUACCCAAGCUGAGUAUCAAAGAUCUGAAAAACAGAAUCUUAGGCCAGUAAGCAGGACUUCCUAGGAUCCGUGCAGAAAGAACCAUCUUUUCUAUGUCAUCAGAAAAGAGUCUUCACCAAGACUGAAAAGAGGAGUUCAUCCUGCUGUCACCUGGGACCAUGGGGUAGAUGCUUGGGUGCAACUUUACCUCCCAGACGUGAGCACACAAAGGGUAUAUGCAAAGGUUUGUGAAGUGUUUACUUUGAAGUCACUCUCAUUUUAAUGUGCACAGCCAUCUGCUCCACAAAGCACACUCAGCUUUGCAUGCUGUGUGGUGCUUGCUGAGGAUGCAAAGAAUAAAAGGAUUUCAUCCUGACCGUCCUUUCCUAUAGAGUAUUUGCUGUGUCGUUGCUGUAACAGGAUAGAGAGUUUGCGUGAGGAUAGUAUAGAACAUUAUUCAAUCAGGACCGCAGACACUGAGCUGCUGUUCCCACAAGGACCAUGCUAUAGACCACAUGUGGUUCAGAGAUCUUGGCCGUCAUGAUUAGGAGCAAUUUCUGAAAUAUUCUCAAAAGGGUUCUGUAGGCAGCCCUCUCAGUAUGUGUGCAUCAGGUCCAUCUUCAUAUAGGACCUCUAAUCAUCGGAAAGAAGACAUUGUCAAGUAGCAGUCUGGGAGAAUAUCCCCUUAUUGUCACAUCUAGCUGAGUUGUAAGCUAAGGACUGAUUAUGCAGUGAAGUAAUCACUGACCAUCACUCCACCCAAAUAUCUUCAAAAGAGACCUUUAUUGAGGAAGCAGAGAUAAAAAAGUUUUCAAUUUUCAUUUCAGUGUAAAGAUAAUAGAAAAGUAAAAGGCCACGUAGUCAGACCCACCUUACUAUUUUUCUGUGUUUCAAGACUACAUAGGUCCCCAGUGCCUGCUUAGAGGUUAAGCACUCAUGAGAUACAAUCCAGCAUCACUGGAAUGGAUGAUCUCUCCUGCCCUAAAAGACAACUUUUGGAAUCUUGAAAAACAUUUAACAAAAGUUUCAUGGGUGGCAAAAUCCCUAGUGGUUCUUGAAAAUGUUGUGUCUUUCCCAGCUUCCUUUGAUUAGGAUAUAGCACAGUCCCCCACCAAACACACCCCCAUAAAAGUUGCCUGUCGAUAUGCUCUGUGGCAUUGGGCCUUAAAGGAGCAGUGCGUGGUGUGCACACUUAGCUUUUCUGUAGUCUUUCACUAGUCCUAAUCUGCUUUUCCUUGGGGAGCUAUCUAGACUCUUUCUCCAAUUUUUCUUCCUGAUUUAAAGGAAGAUCACUUUCUUUCAGUAGAUGAUUUAGGGAACACUCACAGCUAUUCCUAAUAGAGCCGUAGCAAGCCCUCCUGCUGUCCCAUUUAAAUUGUCUGAACUGCUUGGCUUUUUCAUUUACUCUCCCUUUAGAGGGAACCUGCAAAGUAAGGGAGACUUGAAUGGCCCAUGUCUUCAAAGAAGCCUUGAGCUCCGGAAUGCUACAUAGUUCACGAAGUCACAGAACACCAGGGAAUGUCAGCAAGGAGGCAGAACUGCAGCACAGGAGACUUUCUAGGUAUUCUCUCUUCAGCUGAGCAAGAGCAUGGGUCACCUUCUCCAAGACCCAAUUUGAUUGACUUUGAAAUCUGUCUGAUUACAGCAUUAGGACAAACUUCAACCUGUUGUAAACAAUGAGUUCUUUGUUUUGUUUUCAUAUGAGUGCAUUGAUGGGCAAAUUAGCCAAAGUCGGUAUUAAAGAAGAAAUCCACUUUCUUCUAGGAACAAACUGAUUUUUGGUAACUAGGGUGUGUUUACACUAACUUGUUUGUAGUGUAUGUCAAGUCAAGGCCAGAACAAACAUACUCAAAUACUCUAGUCCAGUAGUAGCAACUGGAAGUUUAAUUGGUUCUGAGAGUAAAAUAUUAACUUAAAAUAUAGAAUUAACAAUACAUGUCUAACAAACAAGCAGUAUUUCACUUGAAAAUAUAAAGAGAAAAAAUUAGAUCUUUUUUUUUAUAUACCUUGCUACUCAACAAUAACUAUCCUUAAUAUUUUUAUUUUAUUAUCCAAAAUAGUUUCCUAAAAGCUUUCACUAUUUGUUAGAUUUCCUAAGAAGCCACCUAAUCAGGAACUGAUUAAGGCCAAUAUACUAAAAAUUAUUUGUACAUAUUGGACUUACGUGCAUUAUAAUUAGCCGUCACACAGUGCAAACCAUUCCAAAAUCAACAUCAAAGCACUGCUACACUUGAAGCCCUUUGGAUGUAUAUAGUACUUACUUUGUGAUGAUACAAUUUAAGGCAACAUUUUCCAUGGUAUGGUACUCUUGUUUUCACAGCAAAAUGAUCUAUUUUAACAGUAUGAUCUAAAAUAAGAUACUAAAAUUUCACUUGAUGAUUCAGCUGUACACAAAUGGCCUCAAGGAAUUGUUUUAUAUUUGUACACAAGCUCAUAUGCCAAUUUUUAGAAUUCUUUAACAUUUACUUAGAAUUAGUCUAUGAUUACUGUGUUUUUGGUGGCUAAAAAACAUAUUUAUUGUUCCUAUCUAAGUAACUCUGUCCAAAAGCACUUACUAACCAUAACAACACAACAAAGAUUGGUUACGUCAACACUGUACUUUAUCAUUGGCCUUUGUUUUCCAAUACAAUGCUUUAAAAAUAUCCUCAGCUGUAUAGAGGACAUUGUUGCAAAAAGGCAGCUCAAAACUUGUCCUUCCCUUCUCUUUCAUUGAUCUGUUGCCUCUUAGGCAAUAUGAACAGCUGUCUCCAGCUCACCCACAAGCAAGCUGAACAUAAUAAUAAGGUCAUGUUAGUAUCCUGUAUCUAGCAAUGAUUGGACAGAGGAUGCCAGCUCUUUUUCAUUAAAGAUAAGGUAACAAAGACACCAGAAACUGGUUCCUGAAAACAGGCGAAAUUGCUGCCUUGAAGGUUCUUGUUCUGGUACCCACUGAGAGUCUCUUUCACAUGGGUUUCCACUAAGGUGAAGGUGCCCUCUGUAGGAGACUCCCAGUAAAUGCUGCUUUUUUGCAUUUAGGUGACAUCAGGCCCGUUUCCCCCUCCCUUCCAGCUUACAAAUAAAUGAAUAAUCAUAGAAUUCUGCAAGAGCACAAGUUUAAAUUCUAUAAAUCUAAACAUGAAACACUAUAGAGUCUAAAAUCAGCUAUGCAAAUCUCGUGAAUUUUCAAAGUAAGCAACAUUGAACACUGGGAAAGCUGCUCAGCACGUUAGGAUUUGCUAUUUACUGGAUAUAAUUGUGGAAUGCAAUAAGGUGGGUUUUGUAAAUCCAGAGGUGUUGUGAGAAACAGAAAGACAGGAGGUCCUGACAUAUCCCAGUGAACACUGUAUCUACACAGAAGCAGCAUCCACACACUGAAAGAUACACACUGUCUAAUAAAUACACCUCCCCAAAAGGUCUCUUCUAUUCUUACAAAGGUUACCAUAAUGCAGAUUCAUUAUCAGUCCCACUGGGUAGUAUAAAGCUUGGUAAGAAAUUGCUUUUGUUAGCAUGCUCAUGGAAAAAGAUUAGCUAUUUCAUCAGAUCUCUUGGGGCGAUUUGAAAAUUUGGGGAUUCUCUCUGUAAUUUAAAAUGGAAGUUAAAGCCAAUCUGAAUAGACCAGGGAAAAAUCUCACAAAUUAAACCUCUCCAUCUGGAAGUUUCUUCAUCACUCACUGUGAAAAUACAAAACUUAAAUGACAUUUGUGCCAAGCUGGAGAGAUUUCAUCAGGGUUGAUAAAAUUGCAUAUAUAUCCAGGUUUAAUAAUUAGAGAUUUUCUUUGCAAAGAAAAACUUAAAAGUACUGUAGACUGCUUAGUGGUGUUUCAGACUUGAUUUUGGUCUGUAUUGACUUUGCAUGUUAUAUUCACCCCUGAUAUAUUUAUGUCCAUUUUUAUGACUAUGACUUGGGCCACUAUGGAAUGUAUACUAGUCUUGUCUGUAUUGGAAGUCAGGGUAUAUUCAAGAAGGCACAGAGGCGAAAGAGAGGGGAAGAGCUGCCACUUUCUAGUAUAUAAUUGAAUUUGUUCGAACUAUCAGCUCAAACAUCCCUUUCUCUGUAAGUCUAUAUCUGCAUGGUACCAGAACCAGGUUAGCAUCAGCACUAUUUACAGAGUGCCUACUAUUUAUGUUGAGCGCUUCCUCUAGAUUAUUUCACUUAAUCCUCAUGAGAAAGGUAAUUAUCCUUUUCCCCCUUUUUUAUUCAUUCGUGUGUGUGUGUGUGUGUGUGUGUGUGUGUGUUCUUCUGUGUGAACGGACCUGUAUGUGGGGAUGUACAAAGAGAAUUGAACUCGAUUUGGGAAGUCUUCCUCUGUCGAUAGCCACUUUGUUCUCUGAGGGAGGAUUUCUCAGUAGGCUCCAGAGCACUGAUAUGGCUAGACUGGCUAGUCAGCUUUCCCUGGAGAUCUACUGUGUCUGACUUCCAAGCACUGAGAAUAUGGGGAAUGCAGGCAGGUCACAUUGCCCAUCCAGUUCCAACAUUUACUAUGUGUAUAAAUGCUCCAGCUGCUGAGCCACCUUUCCCAACCUAGUUAUCCAACACACACACACACACACACACACACACACACACACACACACACACACACACACAAAGAGAGAGAGAGACAGACAGACAGACAGAGACAGAGACAGAGAGACAGAGACAGAGAGAAGAAAGUGGUACUUGGGAGGUUAAAACCUUUGCUUAUCUACACCAGGAUCUCUCUUCCUGUCCACUGUGAAAGGCUCCCUUCUGAUGUCACUUACUUUUCCACCUAUCUGUAUUUCACAUAAUCAAAGCAGUUGUGACCCCCGUCUUUCUACCAGAGCUGUCUGCCGAAUCCCCAGCCAGUACUAACUCAGCAAUCUGCUAUCCAACUGGAUGACUGAACAUUGCUAAAGACUCUCCCACAGUGAUGCCUAUUGGUAUCCUUAAUUACUCAUGACUGGGACUUUCAAGCUUUAAAAUUUAAGCUAGUUUAUCCAGAAAGGGGCCUGAAUAAGCUCACAUCAUCAUUUUAAUGGAAGGUUAGGGCUCCAGUUAGUCUCCAGGGUGAUUGAGACCAGAGAUUCAGACACCCCAUCAAAUCAGCUCUGAUCUCAGAAGACAACGCGUGUCAGGGUGUCUUCACUUUCUCUGUCUGGAUUCUGCACAGCUAGAUUUAUGCUUCUAGCAUCAGCCAUGCUCAAUUCUUUUAAUUCCAGCACCAGAGAUACACUGUGCUCUGCCUCCUUGAUACUCAAGUUAGGAAUCCAAGGGAAAGCACUCUCUGGGUUACCUUGAGACAAAUGUUUAUUUGUAGAUGAAGAAAUUAGACAAGAAGAAUAUCAAGUACUGAGUGCUGGGAUUGAAGGCAUGGGCCAUCACUGCCCUCAGGUACUGAGAAUGAAUGUGUGGGAUGAGAUGUGACAUGUAUGGAGUUUAAAACCUGGUGUGCAUAUGACCUAAAAAAGAGUUACCUUUCUCUUUCUUGGUUUAUUUACUACAAAAAGAGACUGUAGGUGUAUGUAAUUUGCUGCAUUCUCCUGAUGGCUAAAUGAGCUACUAUGUGGAACUGAGAAUAAUAGUUCCCUCCUAUUGUUAAUAAUAACUAUAUUGGGGCUUUAGGAUUGGUCCAGCUUGACUCAGAAUCUCAAAGCUUCAAUUCUAUGGCUAACGGGGUAGAGUAAUUUGAAGAUCAGGCCUGAGGGAUAGUCUUCACAUCUAGAUCUCAGGAAUUAUUCAGGAGGGAAAUGCUUUUACGGAUGAAAGAGCGAAGUAUGCUACUAAGACAAAUCACCGGAUGUCUAUUAUACAGAAAUCAAAAGUGCUGGAGUGCAGACCAAGAAUGGAGUCUGGUGAGAAUCCUGAGUGCCUGUGAGAAAAAUCCAAAAAAACAAGACAAGAGUCUUGUGACCUCAGUUCCUUCAAAUCACAGAACUAUUCUCGGAAUGUGUCCUCUCAUGGGGAUGUUGAUGAUCCUCUCAGGGGUAGCAGAUAGGAGUGGGUUUACUUCAGCUGUUAUUCAUGCACCUCUACGGGGAAAAACAUGUUCUGCAGUGUGUGACUUGUCCUUACGAUUGUACACUUUAUUCAGGUGAUUGUUUUUAACCCCCAGAAUAUAAAUUGUUUGAUGCGCUAAAUAAAGUUGGCUAAUUGCAUGAGACUUAGUCCUCCUCAUUUUUAGGCCCCUCUCUCCCAGAUUUACACCACAGACUAGAGAGGCAAACAAAAAGUAUACGACCUCCAAUGUAAGUAGAGGGUCACUAAACAGUAUUUUUCCUUCACGUUAUCAAUGAGGUCCAUGUCUUUCUUCCUUCACUGAUGAUUCUAUCCUGUCUUAUAUUUUUCACCAUGUGUUUGUGAUGUGCAUGUUUACAAGCAUACGUGUGUGUGUGUGUGUGUGUGUGUGUUUGUGUGUGUGUGUGUGUGUGUGUGUGUGUGUGAGAGAGAGAGAGAGAGAGAGAGAGAGAGAGAGAGAGAGAGAGAGAGAGAGAGAGAGACUGCAUACAUGCACAAAAUGUGGGUGGAGGAUGGACACUGAGGUCAGGAAUCUUCUAUCGUUUUUCCAUCAUACUCAUUGCGGCAGGUGCUCUCGGUUCAACCCAGAGCUACACCUACUCUAGCUAGCCAGCCUGUUCUGGGAAUCACUUGUUUCUACCUUUGGAGCUCUGGAAUUACAAGUGGGAGACUAUCCCCACCCAUAUCCGGCUCUAGGGCCUGGCCCCAUGCAUGUGCAGCAAGCAUUCUAACCACCACGCCGUCACCCACAGCUUUCUCAGAGAUAACUCUAAAAUUUCAAGAGUGAGGUCUACAUCCUCAAAUCUGCAUUCUGUAUCGACUCUCCCAUCAGAAGAGGAACGUUAAGAUCCUCAGGUCCCUGCCGUUUCCUGUGUGAUUGUUUUCAGUCUCUCAGUUGACCCCUCCCCCUUUAACCACUGAACAAUCACUCUGGCCCCUACUCAAAUAUAGUCUACCAUUUUGUUAAUAGCUUUUGUGAUAAUCCACAUCUAUGCUUUUUCCUUGUCUACUUAUUCUAUUAUUACUUACCUAGGACUAAUCUGCUAUCUUAUGAAAUCUAUUGAAAUUAUUGUCAAGAAUUCUUAUUCUUAGAUUAUUCAUUUAAAUUCUUGAUUAGUUUUUGUUUUUUAUCUUAGUUAGGGAAUAGUGAAAAGGGGUAAAUACACAUAUAACAAGCAUUUGUUUCUUCAUUUGAUUCAAUUUGGAUAAAUCUGAAGCAUGUAUAAUUAAGAGGGACUUAAAUGACCAAACAUACUGCCUCAGCUAUGCUUGUAUAAAAAUGCAACUCGGAACGUAAUGACAGAAUCUCUACUUCAUUUAGUUCAUUUUUUGUUUUGUCUUUUGUGAUACUGAGGAUUGAACCAAGGACCUUGCAUAUGUUAAGCAAACACUUGACCCCUGUAUUUUGCGGGAGGAGAGGGGGGACCUAGAGUGACUCCGCUGAUCUGGAUCAGCUCAUGUAGGUCCUGUAUUCUAAAAGGCUUUGUUAUUACCUGCUAACUAGGAAACUGAAAUCACAAUUGGGCUGAGUUUUCACUGGGUAGUUGUGCUGGUUGUGAAUAAUUUGGGACACAUAAAACAGCAGAUUAGUGGACAUAAGCAAAAUCUUCUUUAGGUGCUAUGAACUUAAUUCGUCUCUCCAAAUUCACACAUUGAAAUUCAGGCCUCUGGUAUGACUGUAUUUAGACAAAGGGGUCUUAGUGCAUAGUUAAGGUUAAACAAAGUUGAAAGGAUGACGUCUUAAGGUCUCUCCUCCUCUCUUCCCCUCACCUCUCAUUCCCUCUCCACUUACCUUACUUGCCUCUCCAUGCCACCCAUAAAUUUUCUCUCUUGCUCUUCUCUCUUCUCUCUGCUUUUUUGUGUGUACACCAAGGAAAAACAACGUAAGAACAAAGAGAAGAAGGUCAUCUAUGAGGCAGAAGACGAGCUCUCACCAGAAAUCUGAUUAUCAGACACCUUGGUCUUGGACUUUCCAGCUGUUGGAAGAGUGAGAAAUAACUUUCGGUUGUGGAAAAGACCAGGAAUUGAAAGAUUGGAACAUUGAAAGACUGAAUUGAAAAUUGAAGCAGAAAUGGAGAGCCAGGAGGAGGAAUGAAUCUAAAUAGUAGAGACAAGAGAUGUUAAUAAUUAUACUACACAGAUAUCUCCCAUAACAAAGAAUUAUUCAGAUGGAAACAUCACUAAAACUGAAACUAAGGCCUUUUUGGUAGUGUUUUCACAAUACCAACUUAGUUGGCAUCUUAAGUACAUCUUGGCUUCUAAAAAGGAAAGUAUAAUCUAGAGUUGUGAGUGUGACUGGUUUCUGUGUUCUGUGUUCUUUUCGUUAACCUUGUUAGUUUUUGGGGUACAAAACUUUCGGAAUUUGACAGACUUUGACUACGUGAUUUAUCAUUAUUGAGAAAGCUGUGCUUCAAUCUUCUGGUAUGUAGAUUAGCGUAGCCCUCCCUAUACUUCUGUCAGCUCUUGCUUUAAAUAAUUUGAGGUUAUAUUUUUAGGUGGCACAGAAUUAGAAUUCUUAUGUCUUUCAGGUGAAUUGAAGUGUUUAUCAUCUUUUAAAAACUAUCAUUUUUGCUAACACUAAGUAUUAAAAUGUUAAGUUUAUUUUGUCUCAUCUAUUUUUAGAAACAUGCUUCACAUCCUGUUUUAUUAUGUAUCUAUUGAUCUAUUGUAAGCUUUACCCUAUAUUUCUUUUGUCUUAUUAGUGUCCUGAAUUUUAGGGUGUAUCUUGUGAAUAGCAUGAGGUUCCAUUUGUUUGGAAUCCAGUUGGGUAUUCUUCAUGGCUUAAAAAAGUUAUUUAUUUCAACUACAUAUUUUUGUAUUUCUAUAUAUCAUCUACUAUUGUGAUUUAAUUGAUACUUUAUGUUUUAUAGUUUAGUGUCUCUAUAGUUUAUAUUACUUUACUUUGCCUAUAAUACUUACAACUUCUUUUAAUCCCCUUAACAUUGCAAUGAAGACUAAAAGGUAUUUACUACUUCUAUGAUCCUUUCUACAUUCCCAAACAGCUAAACUGAAGGGACCUAGACUUAAAUUUUUCCUCAAUUAAUGAUUGAUUUCUUCAUGUAAAUCAUUAUAAUUGAUUCCUUAAUCAUUAUUUCACAAUGAUUAAGGCAUCAUUGGCUCACAGUUGCCCUCUUCAAUCCGAUUCUACUUUAUACCUGUUAUUUUGAUGUCUACACCAUUCAUUAAGAGUUUCUUAAAUUUUGGCAAAAGUUUGAGUUCAACAUUGUGUUUUUUUGGUUCUUAGUUCUGGGAUCAACAAUAUCUCCAAAGAGACUAGUUAAUAUGAAAGAUUCUAUACAACUGACAAGAUGCAGACAUGAACUAUGAGCAUUGUUCUAUAUGUUUUAUGAUUUUUGUCCUUGUAAGUAAACAGUAAAUGUGUGUAUAUGUAUAUCCAAUAAAUAUUUUUGUAUAUGACACACUUACAAACAUAUACCCACUAUUAUUCACUAAUCUACUGAAAUAUUGUGAAUCUAUACAUGUGAAUUUAUUUCUACUUUCAAUAAAAUAACAAUUAUGAUCAUUGUAAAUAAUUGAUUUUCUUUCUGUUUCUUGAAUAGUGAGAAAGCUAACUUCCAGCAAUCUCAGUAUAUUUAUUAACUGUCUAGCUCCUUGUGUGUGAGUAAUAUCCACAUAAGCUGUAACGUCAUUGCCCUCGACCUUGGUUCUGAUACUGUCAUUGCCUCCUCUGCCACUCAAGAGCCCAAUGCCACCACCACCUCUGGACCACACUGCUUCUCUACCCUCUGAUCUGCUGAUCUUUGGAACUUUCUAAAGUGCACCCCAAACCUCUGUCUUAAAGGAAAUUGAAGCAAUGGAAAGGAAAAGAAAACGGCAGGAUACUGAAACUCGUAAGUGAAGUUUUUCAGGAUAUUUAAAUAUUUAAACCAGGUUUUAAAUCCCACUUCUAUCACUGGUGUUCUCAUUUGCUUAAGUAUAAAAAAAUAUUAUUUCUUACCACUUAACUGAUAUGUUUAUUUUUACUUAGUUUUUGGUUUUCCUGAGUCAGAGAUAAGGUCUUGCCAUGCCUUCCUUAGCUGGCCUGGAACUCAUUACGGCUUGCAGAGGUACACUUGCUUCUGCCUCUCUAGUUCUUAGAUUAAAGGCCUGCACCAGCAUGCCUGACUGCUAGUGAAUAUACUUAUUUAUUUAAACACACAUACACUCAUUUAUUUGGAACUAUAUAAGAGAGGAGAAAGUAAGCUGAACUCUACCAUACAUGUAAUAAUUCUUUCCUCUCUGCUUUUUGUGUUCUCAUUUGAAAAUAAUUUUUUAUGAUACAGUUUGAUCUCACUUUCCCCUUCCUCAACACUUCCAAGAUCCUCUCAACCCACCCAACUCCAUGUUCAACUCCUUUCUCUCUCUGUUUAGAAAACACACAGGCAAACAAGCAGAUCAAACAAACAAACAAAAAGACCCACAUGCAUACACACAAGCAACCACAAAUAAUAGGAACAACAACAAAACACAAAAAACCCACAAAACAAUAACAACAACAAAAUCCCCACAAAGUAUAAAACAGGAAACCAUGAUAUACAGGCAGAAGUCCAAUAAGACAAGACAGGCCCAAAUAAAGCAAUAUGAUACAAAAUGCCUACAAAACCACUUUUAGACUCAUUCUGUGUUAGUCAUCAACUACUGGGCAUUGGGCUUACCAUGAAGUGGGGUUAAUACACCCAGUGAGAUUCGACUGGAGAAAACUAAUUUUUCCUUUGCAAUAGAAGUCAGUUGCAAUUAGCUUCUUUGUUAGGGGUGGGACUUUGUGUCCACUUCUGCCUUUUCAGUCCUAGGACACCAUCUGGCCUAAAACUAUAAAGAUUCUGUGCUGCCUGCCACAAUCUUUGUGAGUUCAUUUGUGCCUCAGUUUUGUUGUGUCUGAAAGACAUUGUUUCUUGGUGUCCUCCAUGCCCUCUGGCUCUUAAAAUCUUUUGGCCCUUCUGUAUAGUUGCCUGAGCCCAGAGAGAGGGGAUAUGAUGAAGACAUCCUAUUUAGGACUGAGUGUUCCAAGGUAUCUCGUUCACUGCACAUUGUUCUUCAUUUCAUAUGGAUAUACUUAAUUUAAUUUAAUUAG